AGCUUCACGAUGCAAUAGGGCGCUCUUUUUUCUCUCUCUGCUAUAGAGAGUGCUAGAGCUUUCCACUCUGUCUCUCUGGCUGCUGCUCUCGAGAUCUUCGAUAGAUUGAGAUUUACUCGCCGCCAUCGAUUUCGAGUUGCUGAAUCUCCACAUUAUUCGGUUUGGUGCUGUUUGUAGGAAGUUGUGCACCAUCGUUAGAGACAACCUUCACUUGCUUCCAUCGAAAUUACCAUUGUCUCUAUGUGUUCUUCCAAGUAAACCUCCUCCCCUACCAUUGCUAAUGCAGUGUCAUGAUAAUGACUGGGAAAAUAUCAACUUCAUUUUUGUUUCUGAUGAAAGAAAUUGCGGAGAGUUUCUUGUGCCAGAGAUGAGAAAUAAGUGGAUUGUUGGAUCCCGUCAUGGUUGGUUGUUCACGGUGGAUACUCGGGGACGGGACAUUCACCUAUUGAAUCCAUUAACAAGGGCCCAAAUCCCUCUCCCAUCUCUCAACACAUUCCAACAUCCUAAGGGUGGUUUCAGAAGUGGUGAAUUCAAUGAUUUUGGGUUUGUAGAGGAGGCCGUUAUAUCGUCAGAUCCUUCAAAUAAAAGGAGAAAAUUAGACAACGAUGAUGAUGAUUGCAUAUUAGCCAUGGCGAUCAUCUCCAAUUUCCAUGUGUUAUCGUUUUGUAGGGUCGGAGAUGGCAAGUGGACUAAUGUGGAGGAUUCCCGAUGCACAUCCUAGAUGUCAUCUAGUACAAGGGUCAGGUUUAUGCUGUUACUUAUGAGGGGAUGGAAGUUGUUUAUGAUUUUGCAGGUGAUAAAAAAAUUGCAAAUUCACCGGACUUGUUGAUUGGCGUUGAGAGAUAUCUCGUUGAGUAGACAAAUGGAGACCUGCUGCAAGUUGUAAGGGUCGUGUAUGGAGACAAAUGGAGACCUGCUGCAAGUUGUAAGGGUCGUGUAUGGAGAUGAUCCCGCAUAUGAAGGGUAUGAAGAUGAUGAAGUUAUGUUGCAAACGAUUGACAUUUACAUGUACAAGCUGGAACUUGACGAUGAGCCAGUCAAGCCUAUAGGCCAUCGCUAUGCCACCCUCAACAACAGAGCCCCAAAGAGAGGUCAAUUCUACUUUGAAUGGGUCGAAAUUGAAAGUUCGGGUGAUCAAGCAAGCUUUGUUUCUGGAUCAAAACUAUUCACUUUGUUUACCUGCGGUUGAGCAUCAAGGAUGCAAGCCAAAUUGCAUAUAUUUUACAGACCGUGGUUUAGGACAUAGAAACAUAGCAAGGGUGCGAUUGAACGAUGAGGAGAUAGAUUAAAUAAUGUCUGUUUUUGACACGGGCAUGCAUGACUUGGGAGAUCAAACCUUUGAAAGGUUUAGCAAACUAAAUAUGAAGUACCAUGUUCCACCCAUUUGGAUCUCACCUAAAUCGACGGUAGAUACAUGUAUUGUUUGUUUCCGACAUUUGACAUUCUAUUUAUGUACUGUGGUUCAUGUGAGAUUUUUAUGUAUGUAGUGUGGUUUGAUACAUGAGAUUUCCAUAUAUGUAGUGUGGUUAAUUUACAAUGUCAAAGUACGUUAAUCUCUUGAUUAUGUUCAGGCCCUCCAUUUA